rnacentral:rRNA from 1 species
GACGAACGCUGGCGGCGUGCCUAAUACAUGCAAGUAGAACGCUGAAGGAGGAGCUUGCUUCUCUGGAUGAGUUGCGAACGGGUGAGUAACGCGUAGGUAACCUGCCUGGUAGCGGGGGAUAACUAUUGGAAACGAUAGCUAAUACCGCAUAAUAGUAGAUGUUGCAUGACAUUUGCCUAAAAGGUGCAAUUGCAUCACUACCAGAUGGACCUGCGUUGUAUUAGCUAGUUGGUGGGGUAACGGCUCACCAAGGCGACGAUACAUAGCCGACCUGAGAGGGUGAUCGGCCACACUGGGACUGAGAAACGGCCCAGACUCCUACGGGAGGCAGCAGUAGGGAAUCUUCGGCAAUGGACGGAAGUCUGACCGAGCAACGCCGCGUGAGUGAAGAAGGUUUUCGGAUCGUAAAGCUCUGUUGUAAGAGAAGAACGAGUGUGAGAGUGGAAAGUUCACACUGUGACGGUAUCUUACCAGAAAGGGACGGCUAACUACGUG